GACAGCAUGACCCACACAGCUAGCUGGGGCUCCUUGGAGAGAAAGGUCUUCCUGGUGUUCUGAUGACCCCUGGUCCUCUGUCUAAUCUGUAAACAGGAGGAGAUGGGGAUUAUAUUCCUGGUGCCACACUGUGAAUUCAGUGAAGGCGAAUAAUGCACAAAACGAGCUUCAACUGUUCUCCUCUCAUUCUGGAAGAUCAUUAAAGAUUAAAAGAACAAGAAACAACAACAACAAAAAAAGAUGCACAAAUUGUUGAAGAGUAGUUUCCUUCUCCAACAGUGAGUGUUGUUUUCAGUGCCUGUUAAUGGAAACACUGCCGAAUAUUCAGCAGAUAUUUAAAAAUCCGAGUUUAUUGAAGAAAACCAAAGAGCUGAACUAAUAAAUGUUUUUAAAGGAUGUUGGGUUUAAAAAUGAAAAUCCUCAAGACUGGUUUCCCACACUUUACAAGACUGAGAACCCACGCUUGCUACACAAGAUGAUGAAGAUUAAGAAUGUACAUAUUUUAUUUGCAUAGUAUCUCCUUAAAAGACAAAAAAAUGAUAGUUUGUACAAUACAUGGUGCUUUAUUAAUGCCAGUUGAUUCACAGGAUGUCAGCGCUGGAAUGCUUUGGGGACUUGGAUCCAGAACAGGGCUCUGCCGGCUCUGCCACGCCUCGCCCUGCCCCCACUCCAGGCUCCUCUGGGCAUGCGCAGGGAGGUCAGGGCUAGGGAUGUGCGGUCACUAUUGAACUUGGCAGUUGCUUCAACUUGUUAGGGUGGAAUUGAGCGCGUUCUCUGACGGUUAUCAGAAAUCAACCGUCCACCAGGUCCUCGUCCUGGUACUUGUCUUUCAAAGCCACCUCCCUGCCACCCCUCCAUUCAUUGCUCUGAGCUCCCCUGGGCUCCCCUCGGACAGACCCAGGGAAGGUCCGCUUCCCACAUCAUCCAGGUGGAAAGCGCGGCUCGGGUAAGGGCCUUUGUCCCAGUGUGGAUCUCUUGACCCUAAUUAGUGCAGUCCCACAGGACCAAAAGUUCCCGAGGGUCCCUCCGCAGAGUAGGCAAGGUCUGGCGCGAAGGUAGUUCCCAGUCCCUGCGUCUGGGCUUGACAGUGCGGCGCCUUUGGAAACGCUGAAGUCAAGUUUCCUUCUGGUUUUUCCAAGUAAGUCCAUGCAAAACGUGGGGACCUCUGCUGGACAUGUCUCUGGAGCAUCAGUAGGACCUCAAGAUUUGGAAGACAUGGAGUUAAGUCAUUUCCAAGGAACCUGUUCUCUGAGCUGUUGGAAGCCAACAGAGCCCUGUGAUAAACUCUCAGAAAUGCUGUGGCUCCUGCUCUUCAGCGGCUGCCUGAUUUCCUGCACUUCUGAAGACUAGAGGGCACACAUAGCUGGAAGCACAGAGUCAUCUUCCCUCCACCACAAACAUGGAAGAAAAGACAGAGAGGAGCAGGAGGGAGAGGCCCAGAGCCCCAAGAGGCGUAGUUCAAUCUCUGCAGUCUCUACAGGACCACACCUGCAGCCCUGUCUCCCAGGCAGCUCCAGGCCAGCCUUUCAGCCUCAAAGUUAUUUUGGACACAAUGUUUUUGAAUGCUUUGGAGGUACUGGAUAGUCCCUUAAUUUGAACCCCGUGGAGUGAACCCUUGGCUCCUCCCCUACACGCAAAGUCCUCUGGGGAAGAACAUGCUUUUUGCAUGGCUCCCAUGUGCAGCAGUUUACUGGCUUGUCUUUUGCACUAUCUCCUACGUUUCCAGGGAGCUCAGGGUCAUUGUACUUCUAUUGAUACUGAAGGCCACAAGAAACCUUGGAGAGUGCAAAGAAUGCCACUCAUCCUCCCUGGGCCCUGGGCUUUUAUCCCUGCCUCUGCUGCCCCCGCAGAGGUUUCAUCAGCUCUCCUGGCUCUGAGCAGCCUCAGAUCCUGCAUCUGAGUAGGAAGUUGAAGAAGCUUCCAGGGGUCUCCUGCCAGCCCCCGUGGGCAGAGAGGCUGGAUCACACCUGCAGCAGGCACAUUCUGCUGGUUGUGCGCCUGCCUGGCUGAGCCCCUUCAGGGGGUGCUUCUGCAGCAGGAGGUUCCUUCUGUGUCUCCACCACCAAAAUGGUGCUGGGGGGACAGGGGGCCCAGGGGCCCCAGGGGGCCCAGGGCCAAGCUGGGGGGCGGGGGCCAGCAGGCCUGUUGGCUGUGCUGCUGGUCUUCUGCCCGACUGGGUUCUCAUCAGGCCUCUGACUUCCUGUAUCAGAGCAGAAAUUAAAGGUGGGAAGGGCAGGCGCAUUGCAGUCCCACUGCCUCCAGUUAGCAGAGACCCUGGGCUGUGUCUUAAGGGCUGGGGAGGGACUCCGAUAGUUGAGACUCCUCGACUCGGGUUUCCUGUAGCCUGGCAUCUGGUAGGUGGCCAUCACCUGGGCACUGUGUCACUGACUCAGUGGGUCUGCCUCUGGGUGGGACUCGAAACAGAAUCAACCGAGAAUAGUAGUCUCGUAGAACAAAUUUUAUUGGCAGCAAAUAAGGAAACCACAGGAAAUCACUUCCAAGGCAUGAUGAGUCCGGGUAACCAAGGCCAGCCGCAGUUUAUUUGGCAGGGAGUGUGAAGGGGUGUAGGUGGGAGUGAAGGUCCCUCGGCGCAUGUGCAGGGACGAGCCUGCAAUCCUGCGCAGGCGCAUUCUGAUAACGUGCCUUUGUACUUGUGAAAACUUUGUACCCUGUGAAAAUGUGGCUUCUGCUCUUCCCUGGGUGGGGAUUUGGGUAUUGUCAUGAACUAAAGUUCAUCUCUCUUGGUCACUGG